rnacentral:rRNA from 1 species
UGGGGAAUAUUGCACACUGGGGGAAACCCUGAUGCAGCGACGCCGCGUGAACGAAGAAGGUAUUCGUAUCGUAAAGUUCUGUCCUACGGGAAGAUAAUGACAGUACCAUAGAAGAAAGCUCCGGCUAAAUACGUGCCAGCAGCCGCGGUAAUACGUAUGGAGCGAGCGUUGUCCGGAAUUAUUGGGCGUAAAGGGUACGCAGGCGGUUUAAUAAGUCGAAUGUUAAAGAUCGGGGCUCAACCCCGUAAAGCAUUGGAAACUGAUAAACUUGAGUAGUGGAGAGGAAAGUGGAAUUCCUAGUGUAGUGGUGAAAUGCGUAGAUAUUAGGAGGAAUACCAGUAGCGAAGGCGACUUUCUGGACACAAACUGACGCUGAGGUACGAAAGCGUGGGGAGCAAACAGG